GUGUGCCAGACCUAAAUACACUAAAGGCACCAGAUCCUAUAUGAUCUUAGAAGAAAAACAGGGCCAGCCAUGGUUAGUAUUUGAAUGGGAAACUGCCAAUAAAUACCAGAUACUGUAGACU
rnacentral:rRNA from 11 species